CGUCGGUGGACCCCCACUGUUGCGGCCUCAAAGCGACCCCAGU
rnacentral:rRNA from 1 species